CGAAUCAAGGGAAGCGUGCCGGUGCAGGCAAGAGACCACCGUAAGCGUCGUUGCGACCAAAUAAGCGCCGAUUCACAUCAGCGCGACUACGCUCUCGCUGCCUAAGCGACGGCUAGUCUGUCAGACCGGGAACGCCCUCGGCCCGGACCCUGGCAUCAGCUAGAGGGAUCCACCGAUGAGUCCGGUCGCGGGACUCCUCGGGACAACCACAGCGACUGGGAUCGUCAUCUCGGCUAGUUCGCGUGACCGGGAGAUCCGAGCAGAGCAUAGCGAACUGCGCACGGAGAAGCCUUGAGGGAAUGCC
rnacentral:misc_RNA from 1 species